CGCCUGCUCUGCUUCUUACAGCUCUUGAUAAGUAUGGUUUCCUCCGUAGGUCAGCAGAGGGGCGAAGGUCACACACCACCUCACCGGGUCGAGCGCGGCCCUAUCUCCACUGCCCAUAGGGCGAUCGAAUCCUGGACAGGGGCGCCCCUUUGUAGAGACCACGGGGGCGGCGGACCCUUUCGCCUCUGACUCUGCGACAAAGACAGACACAGCAGGUCCACCGCAGACUACAACGAGAGAGAGAGAGGGAGAGAGAAAUACAGACAGCCACCACGUCUAACAAUGAGCACAGCUCCGUUCCUCAGCACACACUACGACUAGCUUGACAGCACAAUGCUCCCUUCGGGGUGCUCCUUUUCUCCACCCACGUAUCGCCUUCCUUUCGCCCCAGACAGCUCCUGUCUUCUCUCCGCGCGCUCCAAGCGCAGCCCGGAUCAACAGAGCCUGCGGGCUCGUCAAAAGGUCCACCACGUGCUCAUCUCUACUCAAACUUUUGCAGAGAAAUGAAACAGUGACUGCAUGAUUGAUCUACAGUCGCCACCUGCUGGUGAUAAAAAUGAAUAACAUUAAUAGAAAGUAUGACUUCAACAUAUUUUUGGUGGUAUGGUACAGUGCUUUAUAUAGAUUAAUGGUAUAUGGUACAGUCUUCUUUAGCUUAAAUGUAAAUAUAACAGUGAAUGAAGAUAAUUCUUAAACUGUGUUUAGAUGUAGUUCAAUAAAGUUCAGAGUAUCAGUGAAGCAAGUUUGAG